rnacentral:rRNA from 1 species
GCAGCCUGAUGCAGCGACGCCGCGUGAGGGAUGACGGCCUUCGGGUUGUAAACCUCUUUCAGCAGGGACGAAGCGCAAGUGACGGUACCUGUAGAAGAAGGACCGGCCAACUACGUGCCAGCAGCCGCGGUAAUACGUAGGGUCCGAGCGUUGUCCGGAAUUACUGGGCGUAAAGAGCUCGUAGGUGGUUUGUCGCGUUGUUCGUGAAAACUCACAGCUUAACUGUGGGCGUGCGGGCGAUACGGGCAGACUAGAGUACUGCAGGGGAGACUGGAAUUCCUGGUGUAGCGGUGGAAUGCGCAGAUAUCAGGAGGAACACCGGUGGCGAAGGCGGGUCUCUGGGCAGUAACUGACGCUGAGGAGCGAAAGCGUGGGGAGCGAACAGGAUUAGAUACCCUGGUAGUCCACGCCGUAAACGGUGGGUACUAGGUGUGGGUUUCCUUCCUUGGGAUCCGUGCCGUAGCUAACGCAUUAAGUACCCCGCCUGGGGAGUACGGCCGCAAGGCUAAAACUCAAAGAAAUUGACGGGGGCCCGCACAAGCGGCGGAGCAUGUGGAUUAAUUCGAUGCAACGCGAAGAACCUUACCUGGGUUUGACAUGCACAGGACGUGCCUAGAGAUAGGUAUUCCCUUGUG